rnacentral:rRNA from 1 species
UACAGAGGUCUCAAGCGUUGUUCGGAUUCAUUGGGCGUAAAGGGUGUGUAGGUGGCGCCGUAAGUCGGGUGUGAAAUUUCGGAGCUUAACUCCGAAACUGCAUUCGAUACUGCGGUGCUUGAGGACUGGAGAGGAGACUGGAAUUCAUGGUGUAGCAGUGAAAUGCGUAGAGAUCAUGAGGAAGACCAGUGGCGAAGGCGGGUCUCUGGACAGUUCCUGGCGCUGAGACACGAAGGCCAGGGGAGCAAACGGG